rnacentral:lncRNA from 13 species
CAAGCAUGAGAGUUUUUAACAAGCUUGUUGGGUGGUUCUGGUGAACAAAAGUUAGAGAAUCAUUUUCUAAACCAAGAACUACUUGAGGCUAGAACUAGGUUUAUGUAUCUUUGACUUCCUUGUAAUGAAGCAUAAUUCCCAGCUCAAUGUUGGUCUUAUUUAUUGAAUAUAGGAGCUUUCAGGAGCACUGGGCUGGAGAAGACACACAGGUUUUCAAGUCAAUGGGAGCAACCAGAGCAAAAGUGUUUGGGCUGGAACCCAAGAUGUAAUUGGGACACUGAAUGCAUGUGUAAAGCUGACAGCACUGAGCAACUGGAAGACUCAGGAGGCUCAGUGCUAGGGGAUUCAGAAGCAACCUGUACUCCUCAAAGAAAGAAAAUCGUAAGACAAAGGAGAUCUCUAGAACCAGUGACUGGGGCUCUUCCUUCCAUGAAAAAAUUGGGUGUAUGCAGACUCAUCCAUGAAUCUAGAUUGCAAGGAUGUGACCCUAUGUAAUAAAGUUGCUACUUAUUGCUCAUCAUCAUCUUUAAUGACAAAAAUAGUAACAAUUAAUAUGUCUCUUGGGGAAAAUAAAUACUUUAAUGGGCUUGUUAAGGUAAGUCUU